rnacentral:lncRNA from 1 species
CCUUGCUGAGGUUCUGCAUCUCGUGCUUUUUAAUAGUGAUUAUUUUUCUGGCAUAAAGAAAUUAAUUUCUGAAGUCUAUUGAAUUGAAAGGAUUUCAGUGUAAAAGGUGGCCAUUACCAGCCACCAACUUUUCUUUUUUCUUAAUUGAAGUUAUAGCAGGGCUGAGUUCUCUUUCAGUCCCUGCUUUGUUGAUUUUAAGGAGAAAAUUGUUAUAACUGAUAUAUGCUAGAAAUAAUAGAAGGAGCCUGCAAUUUUCUGGUUUGCAUAUUAUGGUUCCUAUGAAGUCAUCAUCUGCAGGAUAGCUCUCUAGUUUACCUUUCUUUAAAAACAGCACUCAAGGAACGAACACAUUUCUAGUAGGCUAGAUUUGGACCUUGUGCCUUCUGUUUAGUUUCUCAAUUCAUCCAAAACCGUAUCCAGGCCAUCACCAAUCAUUCUAUACAACAAAUGCUCCUUCUAACAACCCCACAAUAUCACCCCUUACCACAAAAUCUUUCUUCAGUUGAAUCUCUCCCACACUAGGUUCCCACGCCACCCCUAAUCCCACUCGAAGCAGCCCUGAGAAACACCGCCCAUUAUCUCUCCAUACCACCCCCAAAGUUUUUUGCUGCUCCAACACUUCACCACUAUUUUGUUUUGAGUUUCUUAUUAAUAUAAGAAGACAGGAACAUCAGGCCUCUGAGCCCAAGCUAAGCCAUCAUAUCCCCUGUGACUUGCACAUAUACAUCCAGAUGGCCUGAAGCAACUGAAGAUCCUCAAAAGAAGUGAAAAUAGCCCUAACUGAUCAAUGUACUUUGUAAUCUCCC